rnacentral:rRNA from 1 species
UACAGAGGUCUCAAGCGUUGUUCGGAUUCAUUGGGCGUAAAGGGGUGCGUAGGUGGCGCCGUAAGUCAGGUGUGAAAUUUCGGAGCUUAACUCCGAAACUGCAUUUGAUACUGCGGUGCUUGAGGACUGGAGAGGAGACUGGAAUUUACGGUGUAGCAGUGAAAUGCGUAGAGAUCGGGAAGAAUACCUGUGGCGAAGGCGGCCAGCUGGGCCAGGUCCGACACUGAGGCGCGGAAAGCGUGGGGAGCAA